ACGGCACGGUCCCGCGUGAGGGAUGACGGGCUAUGGGUUGUAAACCUCUUUUUUCAGGGAGGAAUAAAUGACGUGUACCUGAAGAAUAAGCAUCGGCUAACUCCGUGCCAGCAGCCGCGGUAAGACGGGGGAUGCAAGUGUUAUCCGGAAUCACUGGGCGUAAAGCGUCUGUAGGUGGUUUAAUAAGUCAACUGUUAAAUCUUGAGGCUCAACCUCGAAAUCGCAGUCGAAACUAUUAGACUAGAGUAUAGUAGGGGUAAAGGGAAUUUCCAGUGGAGCGGUGAAAUGCGUAGAUAUUGGAAAGAACACCGAUGGCGAAGGCACUUUACUGGGCUAUUACUAACACUGAGAGACGAAAGCUAGGGUAGCAAAUGGGAUUAGAUACCCCAGUAGUCCUAGCCGUAAACAAUGGAUACUAGAUGUUGAACAGAUCGACCUGUGCAGUAUCAAAGCUAACGCGUUAAGUAUCCCCGGCCUGGGGAAAGUAUUGCCUCGCAAGAGUGAAAACUCAAA
rnacentral:rRNA from 1 species